rnacentral:rRNA from 1 species
GAUGAACGCUGGCGGCGUGCCUAAUACAUGCAAGUCGAGCGGACGGACGCGAAGCUUGCUUCUCUGAUGUUAGCGGCGGACGGGUGAGUAACACGUGGAUAACCUACCUAUAAGACUGGUAUAACUUCGGGAAACCGGCGCUAAUCCCGGAUAAUAUUUUGAACCGCAUGGUUCAAAAGUGAAAGUCGGUCUUGCUGUCACUUAUCGCUGGAUACGCGCUGCAUUAGCUAGUUGUUGAGUUUACGGCUUACCACGGCAACGAUGCAUAGCCGACGGGAGAGAGUGAUAGCCCACACUGGAACGUGGCCGCGCUCAAGACGACUAAGGGAGGGAGCAGUAGGGAACCGUCCGCAAUGGGGGAAAGUCUUACGGAACAACGGCGCGUGAGUGAUGAAGGUCUUGGGAUCGGAAAACUCUGUUACGAGGGAAGAACAUAUGUGUAAGUAACUGUGCACAGCGUGACGGUAACUAAUCAGAAAGCCACGGCUAACUACGUG